rnacentral:lncRNA from 1 species
CAUCAAUCUCUAGAAGAACCAAACCUCAGCACCAACCUGUUCAUCAUGAUGAUCAGAAUCCUCUGCCUGAGCGUCCUUGUGCUGCUUUUCUGCACAGACAUUGAAGCUAAAAAAGAAAAGACCGAAAAGUUCAAAAAGUUCAAGUGUUUCACUUGUACAGAGAAAUACUGCAAAAAACAACAGUAUUGUAGUGAAGGACAGGUCUGCAUGAGCGCCUCUGUUAUCGAAGUCACACAUGGACAUCAGAAUAAAUCCUACUACAGGUCCUGUACGUCACCUUCAUACUGUCCAAAGAGUGAAAAAACAGAGACCAUGUCCAUCGGCUUGGGUUAUCAGGUGUUUGUGGCGACCGUUAAGUGCUGCAAGUCCCAUCUCUGCAACAAAAAACCUCAACCCCACCCUAAGAUACCAUCAGGAAAUGGGUUGACGUGCCUUUUCUGCAGCAACACUAUAAACCCAAAGGAAUGCAAAGUCAAGGAAUGCAUUGGAAAUCAAACUCACUGCGUGCGAGCAAUCAGAAAUGGAACUCAUCAGAGUGGGUGUGCAACUAAAAACUUCUGUCACCCCAACAAGCCUGUUAAAGGCUUCGCUGGUGCCCUCAGUUUUCCAGCUGUGUGUGAGAAAGCAAAACCUGCACCUGAACCAACAACUGCUGAACCAACAAUUGCUGAACCAACAACUGCUGAACCAACAACUGCUGAACCAAAGUGUGUUCCAGUUGAAACCACUCCUGAACCAACCCUUCCACCCUGUGAUAGAAAGGGAUAACUACUCCCACCACGUAAAACCAGUUUCUUUGUCUUGCUGACAAAACCAUUAAAAGGUUGAUUAAAGUCUGGGUGAAUCUUUAGUGGAUCCUACAUCAAACAUAGAGAUCUUAACAAACUUAUCAGACCACCACCCACUGUGAGCUUAAAUCACAGCAUUGGUAAAUAUCUUUGUUUCUGUCAUUUGGCUAAUCUCCUAAACAAAAAAAAUAGUCGGUGGUUGAAUACAUUUGUUAACCAACUCAUGUGAUGUUUUGCUUUUAGUGAUGUUAUUAGAUGAUGAAUUAAUGAAGAUCAAAGCUUCUUUCAAAGGAGCUUUGAUGACUUCUAACUUCUAAAUGUGACUCUUUUAGUAAAGGUAGCAGGGCUGAGUUUCUAAUGCUUUCUUAAAAUGCUUUCUGCAUGGGAACAAUCAUUAAAGAGGUG